rnacentral:rRNA from 1 species
CCUAGCAGCCAUACCACCCUGCAGCCCAGGACUGGUUGCCCACUGAAGCUAAGCAGGGUUGAGCCUGGUCAGUACCUGGAUGGGAUACCUCCUGGGAAAACUAGGUUGCUACCU